ACGGCUACAUCACAUUGAAACACCAUUUCCCGUACGAUCACUAAAGUUAAGCAAUGUCAAGCCUGGUCAGUACUUAGAUGGGUGACCGCUAGAGAAUACCAGGUGCUGUA